CGAGCACGCGCGUGUGGCAUAUCAAUAAGCGGAGGAAAAGAAACUAACAAGGAUUCCCUUAGUAACGGCGAGUGAAGCGGGAAGAGCUCAAAUUUGAAAUCUUCAAGGUUCUACCUUGACGAAUUGUAGUUUAUAGAAGUGUUUUCUGUUAGUAGAGUGGCAAAAGUUCUUUGGAAUAGGACAUCAUAGAGGGUGAGAAUCCCGUAUUUGGUCAUUCCUCCUAGCGUUGUGAUACACUUUCAACGAGUCGGAUUGUUUGGGAAUGGAGUCCAAAAUGGGUGGUAAAUUUCAUCUAAAGCUAAAUAUUGGCGAGAGACCGAUAGCGAACAAGUACCGUGAGGGAAAGAUGAAAAGAACUUUGAAAAGAGAGUUAAACAGUACGUGAAAUUGUCAAAAGGGAAGCGUUUGACACCAGUGUUGUUUUUCCGAAAAUCAAUUACGAAUGUUUUAUUUUGAGGAGUUAUGACUUCAUCGGCUUGCUCCUUUCUUUAUGAAACUUUCUUAAUGCACUUUUCGGUUAACAAGUCAACAUCAAUUUCUUUUGUUGUAAAAGGGUAUGAGGAAGGUGGCUUUCUUUUCGGAGAAAGUGUUUAUAGCCUUGUGCCUCUGCAAUCGGAGAGAUUGAGGUCUGCAGCGUAGAUCCUUCGGGGUUAGAUACAUUUGCGCUAAGUUAUAGCUUUUCAUAGACAACUUGUUGACUAUGUUUAGUCUUGUAGCUUACUCGCUUAUGCUAUUUUACCUACGCUUAGGAUGUUGAUGUGAUACUGCGAGCA
rnacentral:rRNA from 1 species